rnacentral:rRNA from 1 species
GAUGAACGCUAGCUACAGGCUUAACACAUGCAAGUCGAGGGGCAUCAGGAAGAAAGCUUGCUUUCUUUGCUGGCGACCGGCGCACGGGUGAGUAACACGUAUCCAACCUGCCCUUUACUCGGGGAUAGCCUUUCGAAAGAAAGAUUAAUACCCGAUAGCAUAAUGAUUCCGCAUGGUUUCAUUAUUAAAGGAUUCCGGUAAAGGAUGGGGAUGCGUUCCAUUAGGUUGUUGGUGGGGUAACGGCCCACCAAGCCUUCGAUGGAUAGGGGUUCUGAGAGGAAGGUCCCCCACAUUGGAACUGAGACACGGUCCAAACUCCUACGGGAGGCAGCAGUGAGGAAUAUUGGUCAAUGGGCGCUAGCCUGAACCAGCCAAGUAGCGUGAAGGAUGAAGGCUCUAUGGGUCGUAAACUUCUUUUAUAUAAGAAUAAAGUGCAGUAUGUAUACUGUUUUGUAUGUAUUAUAUGAAUAAGGAUCGGCUAACUCCGUGCCAGCAGCCGCGGUAAUACGGAGGAUCCGAGCGUUAUCCGGAUUUAUUGGGUUUAAAGGGAGCGUAGGUGGACUGGUAAGUCAGUUGUGAAAGUUUGCGGCUCAACCGUAAAAUUGCAGUUGAUACUGUCAGUCUUGAGUACAGUAGAGGUGGGCGGAAUUCGUGGUGUAGCGGUGAAAUGCUUAGAUAUCACGAAGAACUCCGAUUGCGAAGGCAGCUCACUGGACUGCAACUGACACUGAUGCUCGAAAGUGUGGGUAUCAAACAGGAUUAGAUACCCUGGUAGUCCACACAGUAAACGAUGAAUACUCGCUGUUUGCGAUAUACAGUAAGCGGCCAAGCGAAAGCAUUAAGUAUUCCACCUGGGGAGUACGCCGGCAACGGUGAAACUCAAAGGAAUUGACGGGGGCCCGCACAAGCGGAGGAACAUGUGGUUUAAUUCGAUGAUGCGCGAGGAACCUUACCCGGGCUUAAAUUGCAGUGGAAUGAUGUGGAAACAUGUCAGUGAGCAAUCACCGCUGUGAAGGUGCUGCAUGGUUGUCGUCAGCUCGUGCCGUGAGGUGUCGGCUUAAGUGCCAUAACGAGCGCAACCCUUAUCUUCAGUUACUAACAGGUCAUGCUGAGGACUCUGGAGAGACUGCCGUCGUAAGAUGUGAGGAAGGUGGGGAUGACGUCAAAUCAGCACGGCCCUUACGUCCGGGGCUACACACGUGUUACAAUGGGGGGUACAGAAGGCAGCUAGCGGGUGACCGUAUGCUAAUCCCAAAAGCCUCUCUCAGUUCGGAUCGAAGUCUGCAACCCGACUUCGUGAAGCUGGAUUCGCUAGUAAUCGCGCAUCAGCCACGGCGCGGUGAAAUACGUUCCCGGGGCCU